rnacentral:tRNA from 1 species
GGUUUCAUAGUUUAUGUAAAAAUAUUAAGUUGCAAACUUAAGGAUGUGAUUAAUCACUGAAACUU